CAAGUCCUACGGGGGGCAGCAGUGGGGAAUAUUGCACAAUGGGGGGAACCCUGAUGCAGCAAUGCCGCGUGAAGGAUGAAGGUUUUCGGAUUGUAAACUUCUUUUGUACGGGACGAAGAAAGUGACGGUACCGUAAGAAUAAGCCACGGCUAACUACGUGCCAGCAGCCGCGGUAAUACGUAGGGAGCAAGCGUUAUCCGGAUUUACUGGGUGUAAAGGGCGCGUAGGCGGGAUGGCAAGUCAGAUGUGAAAUCCAGGGGCUCAACCCCUGAACUGCAUUUGAAACUGUCGUUCUUGAGUAAUGG
rnacentral:rRNA from 1 species